rnacentral:tRNA from 1 species
CGGUUGGCUCAGUGGUUAGAGCCUAGGGCUUGGGAGCAAAAGGUCCCGGAUUCGAAUCUCGGCGA